UACGUAGGGUGCGAGCGUUAAUCGGAAUUACUGGGCGUAAAGUGUGCGCAGGCGGCCGGGCAAGUCGAGUGUGAAAGCCCCGGGCUUAACUUGGGAAUUGCGCUCGAAACUACUUUGCUGGAGUGUGGCAGAGGAAGGUGGAAUUCCACGUGUAGCGGUGAAAUGCGUAGAGAUGUGGAGGAACACCAAUGGCGAAGGCAGCCUUCUGGGCCAACACUGACGCUCAUGCACGAAAGCGUGGGGAGCAAGCAGG
rnacentral:rRNA from 1 species